GGGCCGGUGGUCUAGCGGUGAUGACGUCGCGCUUACAACGCGGAGGUCAGCGGUUCGAAUCCGCUCCGGCCCA
rnacentral:tRNA from 1 species